rnacentral:rRNA from 1 species
UACGUAGGGCGCAAGCGUUGUCCGGAAUUAUUGGGCGUAAAGAGCUCGUAGGCGGUUUGUCGCGUCUGCUGUGAAAACUCGAGGCUCAACCUCGGGCUUGCAGUGGGUACGGGCAGACUAGAGUGCGGUAGGGGUGACUGGAAUUCCAGGUGUAGCGGUGAAAUGCGUAGAUAUCUGGAGGAACACCGGUGGCGAAGGCGGCAUCCUGGACCGGCAUUGACGCUGAGGAGCGAAAGCGUGGGGAGCGAACAGG